rnacentral:sRNA from 1 species
UCAAUGAACAAUAGCCAUGACUGCCUGA